GUCUGAUAGCUCCAGAUAUAGCUUUUGAUUUUUCUUCAUUUUCUUCCAAAGAGAUCUCUAUUUAGACGAACUCGUCUUCAAAAUGCAGUAUCCGAAUCAAACCACACUUCACAGCUACCUCUAAUCACUCCACUCGGCUUUUCGAAGCGACGUCUCAGCUUCGUUAAUUUAAUUACUUUAAUGUCGAGGUUUUAGAUUCGGUUUAUGAUCUAGUUAGCUCUGAAUUUCGCGUAUUAAUUAGUUUGUUUCUUCUUCUCCGUGUUCGACCUGGAGUCAAUUUCUUCUCAAGUGUGCUUUCUGUUUGGUUGCCAAGAGAAAGGAUGGGAUAUACAAUUGCGAAUGCCGUCCUUGUUUUUGUGUUUAUAUUAGAAUAGAAGAAAUUCAUCUCAAUUCAAUGAAUUUUGUUGUCAGUUUUAAUUGCAUAUAAUGCUAGAUUAAAUUUCUGCAGCUAUUAUGAACUACUAAAUAUGCCAUUUGAGGCAAGUUAUCAAACUCAGUGUUUUGUGUGAAAGUCUUUAUACUGCUACUUGACAUUAGUGUUUUUUUCCCUGUUUGCCGGCCUUGCUUGCCUUCAUUGCAGAGCAUGAAAACUCGCUUGUCCCUGCAGAGUCAGUAGUAGCGACAUGGUUGUUGAUCUUAUUCUAAGUUCUCUGCACAUCAUACAUCUAUCUGUUUAACAAUUUAUAUUCUUUUCAACAGGUACACCAAUCUUUUAAAGGUCAGUGUCCCUGGAAGGGAGAUUCCGGCAGAUGCAGUAAAUCGAGUAUCAGAAGUUUUACCUCAUUAGCAUGUUCGUGUUGUGAAACCAUGGAGCGAUAUUUACUUCGGAUGGUGUGUUGGCAUGUAGUGUUGUCCCCAUUAGAUCAUGAGCGAACGGGCACUACAGUGGAUGCAGAAGCUGUUUCUUGUCAGAGUAGCUGCCUAAAAAAUGUGCAACCGUCUGGAGUCUCGAUUUUGUAUGCCUGUGCUGCAGUUUCUCAUCUAUGAGAAUAGGUGGGAGAUGCCAUUAUGAACUCCUUUAUGUUGAUUAUUUUUGUUAAUUGCCCAUAUUAAUUUUCAUAAAAAUUUCAGGUCCUUUUUAUAA